ACACCUCAACUCUCAUGGUUUACCAUGAUGGGCUUGGACUUUGGAGGUCUUGCUGGCCAGUGGGCCAGCUCCUCUCAAAUGAAUUGGCUUGCCAGUGUUUGGUGGCAUCACGGGUGUGAUAACUAUCUACGCUUGUCGCUGUCUGCCAGGUAACCUUCAGCGAUGGAGGUUCGCUGGAGCUCAUAGACGUCUCUCCUCAGCGAGGACAGCUUUUGAAC
rnacentral:misc_RNA from 1 species